CUAAACUACUGUAUUAUAUUUGUAUUGGUAUAUUGAAAGCAUUUUGCAGACCCAGAAGAGAAUAAAUAAUAUAAUAAUUAUAAAAGGAACCAUACUAUGGGAAGAGGUCACUCUAUUAAAUUGCUAAGGGGUUAAACUCAUUUUUGAUAAGCAUAUGAAAUUUAGUUUUUGUGGUUAGAAUUUUUGAUACUCAAUUUGAACUCAAUUGAAGUAUUAAAACCAUAUCCUUGCAGGUAUAGCAAUAUGAUUUUAAUAUUUGCAAUAUAUUAGUGUUCUGACAAUGGAAAAGUUCCUAACCGCAUGUCUGUAUUACACCUAUGACCCAGACUGUCAGUAUUGCAAACCCCAUAUGAAGACUCUGC